rnacentral:rRNA from 1 species
GGACCCGCACAAGCGGUGGAGCAUGUGGUUUAAUUCGAAGCAACGCGAAGAACCUUACCUGGUCUUGACAUCCCUGUGACCGGUCUGUAAUGAGACCUUCCCUUCGGGGCACAGGAGACAGGUGGUGCAUGGUUGUCGUCAGCUCGUGUCGUGAGAUGUUGGGUUAAGUCCCGCAACGAGCGCAACCCUUAUCUUUAGUAGCCAGCAUUUCGGAUGGGCACUCUAGAGAGACUGCCGGGGAUAACCCGGAGGAAGGUGGGGAUGACGUCAAAUCAUCAUGCCCCUUAUGACCAGGGCUACACACGUGCUACAAUGGCGUAAACAAAGGGAAGCAAGAGAGUGAUCUUAAGCAAAUCCCAAAAAUAACGUCCCAGUUCGGAUUGUAGUCUGCAACUCGACUACAUGAAGCUGGAAUCGCUAGUAAUCGCGAAUCAGAAUGUCGCGGUGAAUACGUUCCCGGGUCUU